CCACUCGCCGAGGAUGAACUAAUCUCAUACAUACUAGCAGGGCUCGAUGAGACCUACAACCCGCUCGUGUCGGCACUUGAUGCAUGCAAGGAGCCUAUCACGCUCGAUGACCUGUUCGCGCAAAUGUCGAAUUUCGACC